GUGGCCGUGGCGGAAUGGUAGACGCCCCUGGCUGUGAUCCAGGUCUUUGCGAGUUCGAAUCUCGUCGGUCACCCCU
rnacentral:tRNA from 1 species